GACGAACGCUGGCGGCGUGCCUAAUACAUGCAAGUAGAACGCACAGUUUAUACCGUAGCUUGCUACACCAUAAACUGUGAGUUGCGAACGGGUGAGUAACGCGUAGGUAACCUGCCUGGUAGCGGGGGAUAACUAUUGGAAACGAUAGCUAAUACCGCAUAAUAUUAAUUAUUGCAUGAUAAUUGAUUGAAAGAUGCAAUUGCAUCACUACCAGAUGGACCUGCGUUGUAUUAGCUAGUAGGUGAGGUAACGGCUCACCUAGGCGACGAUACAUAGCCGACCUGAUAGGGUGAUCGGCCACACUGGGACUGAGACACGGCCCAGACUCCUACGGGAGGCAGCAGUAGGGAAUCUUCGGCAAUGGACGAAAGUCUGACCGAGCAACGCCGCGUGAGUGAAGAAGGUUUUCGGAUCGUAAAGCUCUUUUGUAAGAGAAGAACGGGUGUGAGAGUGGAAAGUUCACACUGUGACGGUAUCUUACCAGAAAGGGACGGCUAACUACGUG
rnacentral:rRNA from 1 species